AACGAACGCUGGCGGCAUGCCUAACACAUGCAAAGUCGAAACGAGACCCUUCGGGUCUAGUGGCGCACGGGUGCGUAACGCGUGGGAAUCUGCCCUUGGGUUCGGAAUAACUCAGAGAAAUUUGAGUUAAUACCGGAUGAUGACGUAAGUCCAAAGAUUUAUCGCCCAAGGAUGAGCCCGCGUAAGAUUAGCUUGUUGGUAGGGUAAUGGCCUACCAAGGCGACGAUCUUUAGCUGGUCUGAGAGGAUGAUCAGCCACACUGGGACUGAGACACGGCCCAGACUCCUACGGGAGGCAGCAGUGGGGAAUAUUGGACAAUGGGCGAAAGCCUGAUCCAGCAAUGCCGCGUGAGUGAUGAAGGCCUUAGGGUUGUAAAGCUCUUUUACCAGGGAUGAUAAUGACAGUACCUGGAGAAUAAGCUCCGGCUAACUCCGUG
rnacentral:rRNA from 1 species